rnacentral:rRNA from 1 species
GAUUAGCUGAGAGGUGGUGCAUGGCCGUCGUCAGUUCGUACUGUGAAGCAUCCUGUUAAGUCAGGCAACGAGCGAGACCCACGUCCACAGUUGCCAGCAUACCCCUCCGGGGUGAUGGGUACACUGUGGAGACCGCCGCUGCUAAAGCGGAGGAAGGAGUGGGCAACGGUAGGUCAGUAUGCCCCGAAUCUCCCGGGCUACACGCGGGCUACAAUGGUUGGUACAAUGGGCAUCUACCCCGAAAGGGGAAGGAAAUCUCUUAAAGCCAAUCGUAGUUCGGAUUGAGGGCUGCAACUCGCCCUCAUGAAGCUGGAAUCCGUAGUAAUCGCGUUUCAACAGAACGCGGUGAAUACGUCCCUGCUCCUU